UCCCUGGUGGUCCAGUGGCUAAGAUUUCAUGCUUCCAAUGCAGGAAGCCCAGGUUCAAUCCCUGGUCAGGGAA